UACUAGAAGCCUGUCCAACAGGCUACUCAAACCGAGAUUUUUAAAUGUUAGAACUCUAGAAGAAAUACAUGACGAACCCUAGAGAAAAAACCAGGACGUAGCUUAGCACAGUAAAGCAUCUCCCAACGGAGAAGUCAUCCGUGCAAACCGGAUAGCCCUGGUGCUAGAAAGCUAGCCCACACACCCAAAAACAACAAACCACUGUUAUUCAACCCCGAACGAACUAAACAUUGACCAACAAACCAUUUUUCCCCCUUAGUAUAGGAGAUAGAAAAGGGACCAUGGAGCCAUAGAUAAAGUACCGCAAGGGAAAGCUGAAAAAGAAAUGAAAUAACCCAGUUAAGCUUGAAAAAGCAGAGACUCCCCCUCGUACCUUUUGCAUCAUGAAUUAGUAAGUAAAACUCAAGCAAAGGGCACUUUAGUUUGCUUCCCCGAAACUAAGUGAGCUACUCCAAGAUAGCCUAAUAAUAGGGCGAACCCGUCUCUGUUGCAAAAGAGUGGGAAAAGCUUCGAGUAGCGGUGACAGACCUAUCGAACUUAGUUAUAGCUGGUUGCCUGAGAAUUGGAUAAAAGUUCAGCCUCCCGGCUUCUCCCUUCCCAUCCAAUUUUACACUUCGGAUAUCCAAAAGAAACCAGGAGAGUUAUUCAAAGGGGGUACAGCCCCUUUAAUACAAGACACAACUUUCUCAGGAGGGUAGAGAUCAUAAUCAAAAUAAGGAAUAAUGUCUUGGUGGGCCUAAAAGCAGCCACCCCACAGAAAGCGUUAAAGCUCAGACAUUCUACCUCAUCCCCCCAUUCUGAUAACCUAAUCUUAACCCCCUAAUCUUAUCAGGCCUCUCCAUACCCCUAUGGAAGAGAUUAUGCUAAUAUGAGUAAUAAGAGAGGAUUUAGCCUCUCUCCCCGCACAAGUGUAACUCGGAAUGGACCCCCCACCGAACCUUAACGGCCCCAAGUAAAGAGGGUAAUAGACCACAAACCAAACAACCAGAAAACAAUCGAACAAACUUAACCGUUAACCUUACACUGGCGUGCCUCCAAGGAAAGACUAAAGGAAAGAAAAGGAACUCGGCAAACACAUCAAGCCUCGCCUGUUUACCAAAAACAUCGCCUCUUGCAAAACUAAUAAAUAAGAGGUCCCGCCUGCCCUGUGACUAUAUGUUUAACGGCCGCGGUAUUUUGACCGUGCAAAGGUAGCGCAAUCACUUGUCUUUUAAAUGGAGACCCGUAUGAAUGGCACAACGAGGGCUUAACUGUCUCUUCUUUCAAGUCAAUGAAAUUGAUCUCCCCGUGCAGAAGCGGGGAUGCACACAUAAGACGAGAAGACCCUGUGGAGCUUUAGGCACCAAAGCAGAAUAUGUAAAGUACCCUAGACUAACAGCCAAAACAGCUUAUAACCUGCCCUAAUGCCUUCGGUUGGGGCGACCGCGGGGAAAUAAAGAACCCCCAUGUAGAAUGGGAGCACAGCUCCUACAGCUUAGAGCCCCCGCUCUAAUCAACAGAAUUUCUGACUAAUAAGAUCCGGCAAUGCCGAUCAACGGACCAAGUUACCCCAGGGAUAACAGCGCAAUCCCCUUUUAGAGCCCAUAUCGACAAGGGGGUUUACGACCUCGAUGUUGGAUCAGGACAUCCUAAUGGUGCAGCCGCUAUUAAGGGUUCGUUUGUUCAACGAUUAAAGUCCUACGUGAUCUGAGUUCAGACCGGAGUAAUCCAGGUCAGUUUCUAUCUAUGAAAUGAUCCUUCCUAGUACGAAAGGACCGGAAGGAAGAAGCCUAUGCUUAAAGCACGCUUCUCCCACAUCCACUGAUCCCAACUCAAGUGGAUAAAGGGGCAUGCCCUGACUUGCCCAAGAGAAUGGCAU
rnacentral:rRNA from 1 species